CGGACGGGUGAGUAACACGUGAGCAACCUGCCUUUCAGAAGGGGAUAACGUUUGGAAACGAACGCUAAUACCGCAUAACAUACCGGGACCGCAUGAUUCUGGUAUCAAAGGAGCAAUCCGCUGAAAGAUGGGCUCGCGUCCGAUUAGCUAGUUGGCGGGGUAACGGCCCACCAAGGCGACGAUCGGUAGCCGGACUGAGAGGUUGAUCGGCCACAUUGGGACUGAGACACGGCCCAG
rnacentral:rRNA from 1 species